AUCUAUGGCCAUGCCUCCCUGAACACUCCCAAUCUCGUCUGAUCUCGGAAGCUAAACAGGGUCGGGCCUGGUUAGUACUUGGAUGGGAGAGCACCUAGGAAGACUGGGUACUGUAGGUG
rnacentral:rRNA from 1 species